rnacentral:rRNA from 1 species
AAAGAUGAAAAGAACUUUGAAAAGAGAGUCAAAUAGUACGUGAAAUUGUUGAAAGGGAAACGAUUAAAGUCAGUCAUGUUGGUGGGGAAUCAACUUGAUAGUAUGCGGGUUUACUCGUGUCCUUUCUAGUGCACUUCCUUACUUGCAGGUUAGCAUCAAUUUCAGUUAUCAUAUAAAAAUUGAGGGAAGGUGGCUUUUCUUCGGAAAAGUGUUAUAGACCUUGAGAAAUGUGGUGACCGGGAUUGAGGAUUGCAGCGGAUACCCAUUUGGGCUAGUCACCUGGCUUCUGAUGGUUGCCCCGUCUUCGAUAGCUUGCUAACGUUGGUGGGAUUCGAUUAUCUAGAUGUUGGAGUGAUCAUAAAUUCGCUAAGGAUGCUGACGUAAUGGCUUUAAACGACCCGUCUU